rnacentral:rRNA from 1 species
AGUGAACGCUGGCGGUAGGCCUAACACAUGCAAGUCGAACGGCAGCACGGUAAGAGCUUGCUCUUACGGGUGGCGAGUGGCGGACGGGUGAGGAAUACAUCGGAAUCUACUUUUUCGUGGGGGAUAACGUGGGGAAACUUACGCUAAUACCGCAUACGACCUACGGGUGAAAGCAGGGGAUCUUCGGACCUUGCGCGAUUGAAUGAGCCGAUGUCGGAUUAGCUAGUUGGCGGGGUAAAGGCCCACCAAGGCGACGAUCCGUAGCUGGUCUGAGAGGAUGAUCAGCCACACUGGAACUGAGACACGGUCCAGACUCCUACGGGAGGCAGCAGUGGGGAAUAUUGGACAAUGGGCGCAAGCCUGAUCCAGCCAUACCGCGUGGGUGAAGAAGGCCUUCGGGUUGUAAAGCCCUUUUGUUGGGAAAGAAAAGCAGCAGGUUAAUACCCCGCUGUUCUGACGGUACCCAAAGAAUAAGCACCGGCUAACUUCGUG